UUCUUUUCUUCAUAUGACUUUUUGUUUUAACUCCCAAGCUUUUUCCCUCCAAGUUUCUGUGCAGUUCUGUCCUGCUGACUGCUAACAUAGCUUCAUCUCUUCAAAAGACAAGACAACAGGUAUCUUCCACCAAGAUGUCUGUUGAAAUGGAAAUGACCUUACCCACUACACCAAGGGUAAUCAUGCUUGGAAAUAGCUUGAUGUCUGCAACCCGGUGGAUGGUCAGUAUGGAGGAGAAGGUAUUUUUCGAGCCUGAGCAACUACAUGACUUUGCCAGCGUCCUUGCUGUCGUUUUUGGGUCAUAUUAUGACUUCAAUCUGGAGU